rnacentral:ncRNA from 1 species
AAAUUUUGAUGGUUCCCUUAAUCGGGAUUAAACGGGAAUCCGGUGAAGAUCCGGAGCUGUACCCGCAACUGUAAUUCUGGGCUUUUUUUAAAAGCUGAUGUUGAUCCACUUCAAGCCACUGUCUGUUUAUUUUCGGAUGGGAAGGCGAUCAAACAGAAAAGUCAGGAGACCUGCCAUCUGUUAC